UACGUAGGGUGCAAGCGUUUGUCCGGAAUUAUUGGGCGUAAAGAGCUCGUAGGCGGUCUGUCGCGUCGGAUGUGAAAAUCCAGGGCUCAACCCUGGACCUGCAUUCGAUACGGGCAGACUAGAGUUCGGCAGGGGAGACUGGAAUUCCUGGUGUAGCGGUGAAAUGCGCAGAUAUCAGGAGGAACACCGGUGGCGAAGGCGGUUCUCUGGGCCUUACCUGACGCUGAGGAGCGAAAGCGUGGGGAGCAAACAGG
rnacentral:rRNA from 1 species